UACGUAUGGUGCAAGCGUUAUCCGGAUUUACUGGGUGUAAAGGGAGCGUAGGCGGCGCGUUAAGUCUGAUGUGAAAACCCGAGGCUCAACCACGGGAGUGCAUUGGAAACUGGCGAGCUGGAGUGCCGGAGAGGUAAGCGGAAUUCCUAGUGUAGCGGUGAAAUGCGUAGAUAUUAGGAGGAACACCAGUGGCGAAGGCGGCUUACUGGACGGCAACUGACGCUGAGGCUCGAAAGCGUGGAGAGCAAACAGG
rnacentral:rRNA from 1 species